GGGGAUGUUAAGGUUUCGACGGGGGUGUGGAAACCGGAUAAGCGAGCCGAAGUUGCCAGUCUUCGUAAAAAGGGCACGUUAAAGAUAAACGCUAAAACUAACAACAAUUACGCACUGGCAGCAUAGUUCUGCCCCGCGCGUCAGCCGCUGUUCACCUGCAGGCAGCGUUACUGACGUCAAUCAUGCAGGAAACCUUAGGGUGAGUUCCCGGUAGCUCUAAGGACCCACGGGAUAGCUGAUUCUGCAGUCUGCCUAUGGACGGCAGAAGAGGCGAAACAAUAAAUCAUGGGCUGCGCUCGGAGAAAUUCCGGUGAAAAUGCUUUCGGACACGGGUUCGAUUCCCGUCAUCUCCACCA
rnacentral:tmRNA from 1 species